rnacentral:rRNA from 1 species
CGCCCCGCAGGGGAGUGGCAGACGGGUGAGUAACGCGUGGGGAUGUGCCCAGAGGUUUGGAAUAACUCAGGGAAACUUGAGCUAAUACCGGAUACGCCCUUAGGGGGAAAGAUUUAUCGCCUUUGGAUCAACCCGCGUCAGAUUAGCUAGUUGGUAGGGUAACGGCCUACCAAGGCGACGAUCUGCAGCUGGUCUGAGAGGAUGAUCAGCCACACUGGGACUGAGACACGGCCCAGACUCCUACGGGAGGCAGCAGUGGGGAAUAUUGGACAAUGGGCGCAAGCCUGAUCCAGCCAUGCCGCGUGAGUGAUGACGGCCUUAGGGUUGUAAAGCUCUUUUAACAGGGACGAUAAUGACGGUACCUGUAGAAUAAGCCCCGGCUAACUUCGUGCCAGCAGCCGCGGUAAUACGAAGGGGGCUAGCGUUGUUCGGAAUCACUGGGCGUAAAGCGCACGUAGGCGGAUUGUUAAGUCGGGGGUGAAAUCCUGAGGCUCAACCUCAGAACUGCCUUCGAUACUGGCGAUCUUGAGUUCGG